UUUCUACCCUCCCCUGCCCUCCUUAAGGGAGACACUACACUCCGUGGGAGCAGGUAGAGUGAACUGCUAACAGUGCAGCAGUCCCCUCCCCCCUACCUACCCUCUUCUCUGUGAUCAUCUAAAUUAUGAAAAAAAGAGAGUGCAUUAAUCCACGGUUCCACAUUGCAUAGAGAACACCAGCAAGAGACAAAAUCCAGCAUAAAACACCAUAGACUGCAGGGGAGGAAGAAACGCCUUUAAAGCAAUGAUAAAAAUGGCGUGCAGAAUAAUUACCUCAAAUUGCCAUUCGCUUGACACUCUGACACUAAUUCUGUUCAAGUCAUUGGGAAAUACAAUAAGGCAAACGAGCCUUUCUCUCCUUGUGCAGCAUUCCCUCAGCAGAUGGAUUUUUGCCACUGCAGCUCAGCAGAGGGUGUCAGAUCUUUCAGUGUGCACCAGGUUGAAACGAGCAGAGCCUCUUAGCAACUCUCCCUCUGCGUGCAUGUGAGUGUGUGCGAGCGUGCGGCUCGGCAGCAGCGGAA